rnacentral:rRNA from 1 species
CCCGCUUAGAAUCUCUCUUCUAUUUUGGAGAGUAGCGCACGGAGUGCGGCGUGUGCCAGCACGUUGUGAGAAGUCCACUGAACCUUAUCAUUUAGAGGAAGGAGAAGUCGUAACAAGGUUUCCGUAGGUGAACCUGCGGAAGGAUCAUUGUCGAUGGCUCGCAAUCAGUGUGACCGGCGAACACGUUUAUCUGACCCGCGGGGGAUGGCACGAUCUCGUCCUUCCCCCAACCCCCCGGGAUGCGGCCGCGCACGGCGCGGCUUCCUCCCGGAAAUCACAAACCCCGGCGCCUCGUGCGCCAAGGAAUCCAAAAUUGUUCAGUGCGGCCCCGGGGGAGUUGGAGACAACGUCCCGCGAGUCCCGUCACGACGCACGGAAAAGAAUGACUCUCGGCAAUGGAUAUCUCGGCUCUUGCAUCGAUGAAGAACGUAGCGAAAUGCGAUACUUGGUGUGAAUUGCAGAAUCCCGUGAACCAUCGAGUCUUUGAACGCAAGUUGCGCCCGAAGCCAUUAGGCCGAGGGCAUGCCUGCCUGGGUGUCACACAUCGUUACCCCCACGCACAGGUGCGCUGUUGGCCUGUGCGUGUAGUGUAUGCUGGCCUCCCGCGAGCGGUGCCUCGUGGUUGGUUGAAAUUCGAGUCCGCGGUGGGGCGCGCCGCGAUAAAAUGGUGGACGGGCAAUGCCCGAGACCAAGCACGCGUGAUCCUGUCCGGUGUGACCCUUGGACCCCUGCGGCGUCUUCGGAUGCUCUUUGCGAGACCUCAGGUCAGGCGGGGCUACCCGCUGAGUUUAAGCAUAUCAAUAGGACGGAGGA